AAAAUAACAAUAAAUGAAUAAAAAGUGAUAAUGAAAUAGUAAUGAACAAAAAUCUUUCAAUCUCCUCUCUCGUGUCCUUCCGUCUCUCACCUUCUCAUUUUUUCGUCCCCUUCUCUGAAUCGCUCUCUCUCAGAAACCCAAUCGCCCUCACGAACUCACCUCUCAAACUCUGUCUCGUCCUCUCAACUCACAAUCUCACUUAAUCGUUACCAACUAAACUCUCUCAAACUCAGACAUUCGUUCGAAUUCACAUGCUCAACAAAAGAAAAUCUCACCUUUGGCGACGACGAAUCAGAUUAGGGUUUCAAAAGUGUAAUUGGUGUUCAAAGGAGCAUCCUGCAAAAUCCUCUUUCAUGUGCUCAGCUUGGAUCGGCCUAUUUUGAUGCUAAAACCGAAAACGUGAAAAUGGAGCAUUGGUUUCGGUUCCGUUCUAUUACCGUUUUUCUGUUUCUGUUUUAGGUACCGGUAAUAGAUCCUCGUUUGCAUCAGGUGCCUUGGUUCGAAUUUCCUUGGCUUUAUCAGCCCAAGGAAGGGUGUUUUUGGGUUUCACCGAAUGAAAGGGUACUUGGGCUUAUGUUUGCAAUCAUGACAGUGUUACAAGUCCCUCCUAAUGAAUCCUUGAGAAGCUGAGUGAGUUUUGAAUUUCGGUAUGGAUUGUGCUUCUUGCCCUCUACAAGAGCAUUGAUGCAGCUGCUUAGUGCAAGAAGAGACCGGUAAAUAUUGGUACCCUCAAGAGACCUAAGUGUUCUUUGAUCUGUGGCAAAAACUCUCUCUGACCCUGCAAGAUCAAUCAACGAGAGUUUGCCCACCUUGUGAAUAAUAUUCACUGCAGUAUCUCUAACUCGGUAUUCAACCACGACCGAAGCAAUGCCAUCACUUCAUCGGUGGAGUAAGCUCUGUAUUGCGUAAGACUUGCUGCCUUCAUUUCUUCCCUUUUUAUUAAGUUGAAUCUCCACAAACUUACCAAACUGACUUGAAUUAUUUUUCCUCACAGUCUUUGCAUUGCCAUUAUGUUUUGCAUUUGCACACUUGGAGCAUGUUGUAUGCAGCGUAGAUUCUCCAAGACUUGCAUUUUUAUAGUGCUAAGAUACGAUUUACUGUUUAAAUUUUCUAUGUGCCCAUUCAGAAUCUUCAAUGAGAAGCCUGGUCCAAAAUAUUUGAUAUAAUCGUUCUCUGGAAUCUCAUUUGGAAGCUCUGUAGCUAGAAGAACUCCAGUUUCAACUGCACGGGUUUUGAAAUAUUGGACGGCCGGCAUGCUAGCAUUGAGUUGACAACAUGUGUUUCAAUAUGGGGAAUGGGAUGAUGCUAACCGAAUUCCAUGUGGUUUGAUGGAAAUCAUGUUGUGGUUGGAACUCCUUUGGAAUUGGGAUUUCUUGAAAUUCGACUACCUUGCUAUUAGUUCAUGCCAUAAGCAACAGACGAAAUCAAAAUGAAAGCACCAUCAUCACUGUUGAAAUGAGUUUGUAAUCUAGACAUAUGAUGGACAAAGCAAAAUUUGUAAACCAUAAACUCGUGCAGAAUGUCUAUAUACUCUGUACAUCAUAAACUUGUACAUUAUAAUAGCACCAUAAAUUUCAGUCUUCAAACUAGUGCACUGCAGGUUUUGAUGUGGGCUUUAUUGUUGUUUUAACUUUGCAGGUGCAUUGCCUGCAACCCUGGAUAGGACCGGGUUUAAUGCCAAGAACUGUAUUGCUACAGGCUUGACGAGAAACGAGAGCAAAGGCUGGAACAGGUGGAGCUUGGCAGGAGGAAGAGGGCCGCUUCGAGGAAAAAAGCACCGGUCAUUCUACAUACUCUCCAAUAGUUCUCGGUCAAAUCCAGAAAAUUCCUUUGUAGGUUCAUUUGUAGAUUUUUCUGCCGAGGGUCUGUUUGAUCGUUUGUCUUCUAGUUGGCAGGUCAAAUAUAUGGCGGCAGCAGAGAUGGUAAUUGGAUUCCUGCGAGUGCAGAAGCAUUCGUUGAUCACAACGUCUCCAAUAUGAGUAGCCAGUUCCUGAGCAGAUUUAUUGAGCUGAAGAAGAGUGCAAAAUCUUGGCAUAUGAACUGAUAUAGAAUUGCUGUUAAUGGGUCGACUUAGCUGUAAAGCUUCUCCCAAUAUCUUGAUGUAUCUUUAGUUUCUCCAGUUUUGUUCCUUUUGCCAAAUAAGCUGGAUUGUAAAGCCCCUGCUAUAAUGGAGCCAAACCGUCAUAAUUACUGCAUCAUCAUAUUGAGUUUUUUUGUUAGAAGUACAAGUAAUUGACCAGUUUUCCGAUGAGGAACUUCCAUCAUGACUGUAAGCUAGUGUCAAAACCUUUGCAUUUAAUGUAAGGUCAUCUUUGCCAA